UACGUAGGGUGCAAGCGUUUAAUCGGAAUUACUGGGCGUAAAGCGUGCGCAGGCGGUUAUGUAAGACAGAUGUGAAAUGCCCGGGCUUAACCUGGGAACUGCAUUUGUGACUGCAUGGCUAGAGUUUGGCAGAGGGGGGUAGAAUUCCACGUGUAGCAGUGAAAUGCGUAGAUAUGUGGAGGAACACCGAUGGCGAAGGCAGCCCCCUGGGUCAAGAUUGACGCUCAUGCACGAAAGCGUGGGGAGCAAACAGG
rnacentral:rRNA from 1 species